rnacentral:lncRNA from 1 species
UUCUUCUUCCUCUUCCUCAUCUGUGGAGGCUGAAGAUUGUUUGAUAGGUAGGAACAGAUCCAAGACGGGUCCACAUUCUCCGGUGGUCUGCUCCGAGCACUCUGGUUGUCCGUACAAGGUAUCUGUCGUAGUCCCUGAUAUCUCCUUUUUAUAUGCCUCGAUCGCUAAAGUUCCAAAACAAUAAAUAAUUUGAAUCUUUAGAUCUAACACCAAUCCACAUAUUUACACACGACUUCGUCUUAAUAUCUAAUACAUACUUAUUGUAGAUGUCAAUAUACAUAAAUCGGAAUUUUCUGUUAGAAUUUUGAAUUUGCAUCAGAUCGAGAUAUUGCUACCAGUUACAUCCCAAAAUACGUUAUAUUAUAUAUACAAACGAAGAUGCAUAUGUAUAUGUAUAGAAUUAUACCUUGAGUGACAAGCUCUAAGCAAAGAGGAAGCUCGCGUUGGAAGACAUUGAUCUUGCGGCGUUCUUCUUCGAGAGCUUCGAUGUACUCACAACAUUUUUCACGUUUCUCGUUAUAAUUCUUCAUAUUGCUUAAGCUCUUAAUCAUGGUGAUUUUACAGAUUAAUCCACCUUUUUAUAGCUGUGCAGUACUCUUUAAACAAAAGGGUGGGAUUGUGUCUUUUUAUAAAGAUAGCAAAUAUAUGGCUCUAUAGGGUUUCUCAAGGAUCAUUAUCUUGAAAGAGAAGUCGAGUCGUUGCAUUGCAA